rnacentral:rRNA from 1 species
AAACAUGUCUUUUUGAGUUUAAUAUAAAGUCUAACCUGCCCACUGAAAAUUUAAAUGGCCGCAGUAUCCUAACUGUGCAAAGGUAGCAUAAUCAUUAGUCUUUUAAUUGAAGGCUCGUAUGAAUGGUUGGACGAGACACUAACUGUUUCAAUUUAAUUUAAGAUAGAAUUUUAUUUUUUAGUCAAAAAGCUAAAAUAUUUUUAAAAGACGAGAAGACCCUAUAAAUCUUUAUUUUUUUUUCUGUUUUUACUAUAAAGAAUCAUUAAGUAAUAAUUUUAAAAAAAAAUUUUAUUGGGGUGAUAUUAAAAUUUAAUAAACUUUUAAUUUUUUAGAUUCAUUAAUUUAUGAGUAAUUGAUCCGUUUUUAGCGAUUAAAAAUUUAAGUUACUUUAGGGAUAACAGCGUAAUUUUUUUGGAGAGUUCAUAUCGAUAAAAAAGAUUGCGACCUCGAUGUUGGAUUAAGAUACAAGUUUGGGCGCAGCCGUUCAAAUUUUAAGUCUGUUCGACUUUUUGAAUCUUACAUGAUCU